GGACUACCAGGGUUUCUAAUCCCGUUCGCUCCCCUGGCUUUCGCACAUGAGCGUCAGUUCCCUCCCAGGAUGCUGCCUUCGCCUUUGGUGUUCUUCCAGAUCUCUACGCAUUUCACCGCUCCACCUGGAAUUCCGCAUCCCUCUGAGGUCCUCAAGUCUGCCAGUUUUCCAAGGCCUGUGGCAGUUAAGCCACCACCUGUCACUCGAAACUUGGCAGACCGCCUGCGUGCCCUUUACGCCCAAUAAAUCCGGACAACGCUUGCCCCCUACGUAUUACCGCGGCGGCUGGCAC
rnacentral:rRNA from 1 species